UUUAUGUUAUGGCUCAGUGGUAGAGCGCUUACCUCAAACGUGUGAGGCACUGGGUUCAAUCCUUAGCACCACAUAAAA
rnacentral:tRNA from 1 species